rnacentral:rRNA from 1 species
UUCGUGCCUCGCGGAUCGGCUCCCAGAAGCUAAAUCUCACAUUUUUGACCUCGAAUCAGGUAGGGAUACCCGCUGAACUUAAGCAUAUCAAUAAGCGGAGGAAAAGAAACCAACAGGGAUUGCCCUAGUAACGGCGAGUGAAGCGGCAACAGCUCAAAUUUGAAAUCUGGCCCUCUCAGGGUCCGAGUUGUAAUUUGCAGAGGGUGCUUUGGCGAUGGCUGUGGUCUAAGUUCCUUGGAACAGGACGUCACAGAGGGUGAGAAUCCCGUACGUGGCCGCCAGCCUCCGCCGUGUAAAGCCCCUUCGACGAGUCGAGUUGUUUGGGAAUGCAGCUCUAAAUGGGAGGUAAAUUCCUUCUAAAGCUAAAUACUGGCCAGAGACCGAUAGCGCACAAGUAGAGUGAUCGAAAGAUGAAAAGCACUUUGGAAAGAGAGUCAAAAAGCACGUGAAAUUGUUGAAAGGGAAGCGCUUGCAGCCAGACAUGCCUGUAGUUGCUCACCGGGGCUCUUGCCCUGGGCACUCUUCUACGGGCAGGCCAGCAUCAGUCCGGGCGGUUGGAUAAAUGCCUGCUACAUGUACCUCUCUUCGGGGAGGACUUAUAGGGUAGGCGACAUACAGCCAGCCUGGACUGAGGUCCGCGCAUCUGCUAGGAUGCUGGCGUAAUGGCUGUAAGCGGCCCGUCUUGAAACACGGACCAAGGAGUCUAACAUCUAUGCGAGUGUUUGGGUGUAAAGCCCGAGCGCGGAAUGAAAGUGAACGGAGGUGGGAACCCCUCGGGGUGCACCAUCGACCGAUCCUGAUGUCUUCGGAUGGAUUUGA